rnacentral:rRNA from 1 species
GAUGAACGCUGGCGGCGUGCCUAAUACAUGCAAGUCGAGCGAACAGACGAGGAGCUUGCUCCUCUGACGUUAGCGGCGGACGGGUGAGUAACACGUGGAUAACCUACCUAUAAGACUGGGAUAACUUCGGGAAACCGGAGCUAAUACCGGAUAAUAUAUUGAACCGCAUGGUUCAAUAGUGAAAGACGGUUUUGCUGUCACUUAUAGAUGGAUCCGCGCCGCAUUAGCUAGUUGGUAAGGUAACGGCUUACCAAGGCAACGAUGCGUAGCCGACCUGAGAGGGUGCUCGGCCACACUGAAACUGAGACACGGUCCAGACUCCUACGGGAGGCAGCAGUAGGGAAUCUUCCGCAAUGGGCGAAAGCCUGACGGAGCAACGCCGCGUGAGUGAUGAAGGUCUCGGAUCGUAAAACUCUGUUAUUAGGGAAGAACAAAUGUGUAAGUAACUAUGCACGUCUUGACGGUACCUAAUCAGAAAGCCACGGCUAACUACGUG